rnacentral:tRNA from 1 species
GCCGAGGUGGUGAAAUGGCAGACACGCCAGCUUUAGGAGCUGGUACCCGUAAGGGUGUGGAGGUUCGACUCCUCUCCUCGGCA